CGCCAACCGGCGUGUCGCGGUGUUCGGUUGAGUUACGUACCUCAUGUACACAUUUUUCAUGUCAUUAAUACUGUUAAUAAACUCUUUCUUUUUAGCGCUACACGCCCGAAUUCGCUAUUCGUUAAUUAUUAUUAUCGCAAGUAACUUUUGGCCGCGAGCAAUACGGGCGUGUAGCGGUAAAAGAAAAUUUAAUGUAUGUACAAGAGAAUGUCGGAUCCGGUGGACGAUGAGUGCGAACGCCGCGCCGCAGGUGGCGCGCGGCCGGUUCACCAAUCACCAUCGUUGACGUGGUUGACGUGACGGAAACUGCGCCGCAACCAACGUUCCCGCAGUGAGCCGACCGGAAAAGAAAUACUGUUGCGGAAACGAUUUAGAUUUUUUUGAGUAAUUAAAUUUAAAUAUCGUCUCUGGAAUUGUACCAUCACGGACAAAAAAACAAAAUUUGUUUACAUCAUAUUUUAAUGUCGAUGUACGAUCAUACUAUCAUAGAAUAAUCGAUCCAACUCUAUGUGUAUGAUACUUUUCAGUUUUUAUUUCAUUUCAUUUACGUUGUUUAUGCACUUAAAACAUAGUCCAACCAUUUAAAGUCUAUUGGUUAAAGAUAGUUUCUGUCAUUUCUGUUAUCGUAGUAUGUAUGGGUUUAGUUUGUAUCAUUGCAACUUUUUUUUUUAUUAAGUUUUAAUUAAUCUUUCAAUCCUUUUUAAACUAUCAUUGUCAUGAAUUCCCUCAUUGUUGAAAAAGCAAUACUAUUAACUUAGAAUCAUUCAGAAUCGUUGUUUGUUAGCAAUGAUUUAUAUUAUUAAUAUAUAUUUUACAUUUCCCCUCUAUCUUCCCAACUUCUCAUUUAUAAUAGAGGUUUAACCACCAUGCGAAGUAUGCCUUUAUUUUUGUUUCUACACGUGAUAUUUAUAUUUAUUUCUGCAAAGUCUCUUAUUGUAAUUUUUUUUUUUUAAUUUAUAGAUUGUGUAUUCUUAUUAUUAUGAUUAAAAAAAAUACAUAUUAUUCGAUUUAGUGUAAUACUUAACCAAAUUAAUAAUAUGUAA